GCUCCUUGCAUAUACUGUAAAGGAGGGAAAGAAAAGACUUAAACCGAAAUAGCUUAGCUUUAAUUGAGCAAAGAGAUUCACAUGUGAUCUGAACUUGUGGCUUUUCUAAUUCCUAUAGACAGCUUUGGUUGUUGUGAGAUGAUCCUAAUUAAAUUAUGCAAGAGCAGUGAACUAGCUAAGCGUCUUCAGAUCACCUGGUGAAUUAACCCUUCGGGAGCAUCUGCACUGGGGUUCCAGGUCCUCCGCAAAAGCCCACGUUUUUCAUUGUUCUCAGUGGAGAAUCAUGGAAUUCAGAAGUCGGCGUGGAGCCUUUCGGCCUGUAGGUGGCAGCAUUGUCAGGUUUUGCAGCCGGCUAACCCUAGUUAGUGGAUUUCUUUCUGAUCUCUUUCACUGGGUUCCUUCUAUCUCCCUUCUCGCUACCUUAUCUGGCCCCAGCCAACAUCAUUACCCACUCAUGUCAGGGUCAUUUUGA
rnacentral:lncRNA from 1 species